rnacentral:rRNA from 1 species
AACGAACGCUGGCGGCAUGCCUAACACAUGCAAGUCGAACGAGACCUUCGGGUCUAGUGGCGCACGGGUGCGUAACGCGUGGGAACCUGCCUUUAGGUUCGGAAUAACGCCUCGAAAGGGGUGCUAAUACCGGAUAAUGUCUUCGGACCAAAGAUUUAUCGCCUUUAGAUGGGCCCGCGUUGGAUUAGCUUGUUGGUGGA